GAUGAAGAACGCAGCGAAAUGCGAUAACUAAUGUGAAUUGCAGAAUUCAGUGAAUCAUCGAAUCUUUGAACGCACAUUGCGCCCGCCAGUAUUCUGGCGGGCAUGCCUGUCCGAGCGUCAUUUCAACCCUCAAGCCCCCGGGCUUGGUGUUGGAGAUCGGCCAGCCCCCCGGGGCGCGCCGUCUCCCAAAUAUAGUGGCGGUCCCGCUGUAGCUUCCUCUGCGUAGUAGCACACCUCGCACUGGGAAACAGCGUGGCCACGCCGUAAAACCCCCCACUUCUGAAAGGUUGACCUCGGAUCAGGUAGGAAUACCCGCUGAACUUAAGCAUAUCAAUAAGCGGAGGA
rnacentral:misc_RNA from 1 species